rnacentral:tRNA from 1 species
GGGAAUACUGCGAGUUUCCACCGCUCAUAACGGUCUGGUUGCAGGUUCGAGUCCUGCCGGGCCCACCA